rnacentral:rRNA from 1 species
UUCGGAGUGAGUGGCGCACGGGUGAGUAACGCGUGGGAACCUGCCCCGAGGUACGGAAUAACGGCUGGAAACGGCCGCUAAUACCGUAUGUGUCCUGAGGGAGAAAGAUUUAUCGCCUUGGGAGGGGCCCGCGUCCGAUUAGCUAGUUGGUGAGGUAAUGGCUCACCAAGGCAGUGAUCGGUAGCUGGUCUGAGAGGAUGAUCAGCCACACUGGGACUGAGACACGGCCCAGACUCC